GAUGAACGCUGGCGGCGUGCCUAAUACAUGCAAGUCGAGCGAACGGACCCGAAGCUUGCUCUUCUGAUGUUAGCGGCGGACGGGUGAGUAACACGUGGAUAACCUACCUAUCAGACUGGGAUAACUUCGGGAAACCGGAGCUAAUACCGGAUGAUAUUUUGAACCGCAUGGUUCAAAAGUGAAAGACGGUCCUGCUGUCACUUAUAGAUGGAUCCGCGCUGCAUUAGCUAGUUGGUAAGGUAACGGCUUACCAAGGCAACGAUGCAUAGCCGACCUGAGAGGGUGAUCGGCCACACUGGAACUGAGACACGGUCCAGACUCCUACGGGAGGCAGCAGUAGGGAAUCUUCCGCAAUGGGCGAAAGCCUGACGGAGCAACGCCGCGUGAGUGAUGAAGGUCUUCGGAUCGUAAAACUCUGUUAUUAGGGAAGAACAUAUGUGUAAGUAACUGUGCACAUCUUGACGGUACCUAAUCAGAAAGCCACGGCUAACUACGUG
rnacentral:rRNA from 1 species